rnacentral:rRNA from 1 species
CCUACGGGCCGCAGCAGUGGGGAAUAUUGCACAAUGGGCGCAAGCCUGAUACAGCGACGCCGCGUGGGGGAUGAAGGCCUUCGGGUUGUAAACUCCUUUCAACCAUGACGAAGCGUAAGUGACGGUAGUGGUAGAAGAAGCACCGGCUAACUACGUGCCAGCAGCCGCGGUAAUACGUAGGGUGCGAGCGUUGUCCGGAAUUACUGGGCGUAAAGAGCUCGUAGGUGGUUUGUCGCGUCGUCUGUGAAAUUCCGGGGCUUAACUCCGGGCGUGCAGGCGAUACGGGCAUAACUUGAGUGCUGUAGGGGAGACUGGAAUUCCUGGUGUAGCGGUGAAAUGCGCAGAUAUCAGGAGGAACACCGAUGGCGAAGGCAGGUCUCUGGGCAGUAACUGACGCUGAGGAGCGAAAGCAUGGGUAGCGAACAGGAUUAGAUACCCUGGUAGUC